rnacentral:lncRNA from 1 species
UUUAAUUUAGUGAAUUUGAAAUAAAGCAAAAGAAAUAGAGGGUAUUGGGAGGCAAAAUGAAACUGGCCAAACUGGGAUAGAGUGAGAACUCUGAGACUGAUAAGCCACUGGUGAUUAAUUCCUAAACAUUCUUCACAAGAACUUUAAUGCAGCAACAAUAGACUAGGUUGCUUCAACACUAUGUUGGGCUCGAUAGCAAUGGGCUAGGGUUUUUAAAUGACGUUACUAGCACGGUAGCAAUAUACUUGAAUGACGCUAAAAUGACAUUGUUUUUCGAUCGAUUGAGUGUAUGAUUAACAUUGUUUCUCGAUCGAUUGAGUGCAGGACUGACAUUAUUUUUUAGGGUUUGGCCUUGAGAGAGUGACGAGUAUUUGGGUGAGAAUGCUAAGCUGAAAGAGUGCUUG